AUACGGAGGGUCCAAGCGUUAUCCGGAACCAUUGGGUUUAAAGGGUCCGCAGGCGGUCAAUUAAGUCAGAGGUGAAAGCCCAUCGCUCAACGAUGGAACUGCCUUUGAUACUGGUUGACUUGAGUUAUACGGAAGUAGAUAGAAUAAGUAGUGUAGCGGUGAAAUGCAUAGAUAUUACUUAGAAUACCGAUUGCGAAGGCAGUCUACUACGUAUAUACUGACGCUGAGGGACGAAAGCGUGGGGAGCGAACAGGAUUAGAUACCCUAGUAGUCC
rnacentral:rRNA from 1 species